CACGUAGGGUGCAAGCGUUGUCCGGAAUUAUUGGGCGUAAAGGGCUCGUAGGCGGUCCGUCACGUCGGGAGUGAAAACUCGGGGCUCAACCCCGAGCCUGCUUUCGAUACGGGCGGACUAGAGGUAGGUAGGGGAGAACGGAAUUCCUGGUGUAGCGGUGGAAUGCGCAGAUAUCAGGAGGAACACCGGUGGCGAAGGCGGGUCUCUGGGCAGUAACUGACGCUGAGGAGCGAAAGCGUGGGGAGCGAACAGG
rnacentral:rRNA from 1 species